rnacentral:rRNA from 1 species
AGUGAACGCUGGCGGUAGGCCUAACACAUGCCAGUCGAACGGCAGCACAGUAAGAGCUUGCUCUUACGGGUGGCGAGUGGCGGACGGGUGAGGAAUACAUCGGAAUCUACUUUUUCGUGGGGGAUAACGUAGGGAAACUUACGCUAAUACAGCAUACGACCUACGGGUGAAAGCAGGGGAUCUUCGGACCUUGCGCGAUUGAAUGAGCCGAUGUCGGAUUAGCUAGUUGGCGGGGUAAAGGCCCACCAAGGCGACGAUCCGUAGCUGGUCUGAGAGGAUGAUCAGCCACACGGGAACGGAGACACGGUCCAGACUCCUACGGGAGGCAGCAGUGGGGAAUAUUGGACAAUGGGCGCAAGCCUGAUCCAGCCAUACCGCGUGGGUGAAGAAGGCCUUCGGGUUGUAAAGCCCUUUUGUUGGGAAAGAAAAGCAGCAGGUUAAUACCCCGCUGUUCUGACGGUACCCAAAGAAUAAGCACCGGCUAACUUCGUG